rnacentral:tRNA from 1 species
GCACGCGCGCUCGGCACCAGGCAAGUGGGGCGGCCGCGCGGCGCCGUGCGCGCUGCUGU